ACAGUUUAAAUGUGCUUAUCAUGCAAGAGAUAAGGUGUUUCCCAGUUAGCUGGCUAUAACUGAAAGGAACUACCUGCUGUGAAGAUGAUUAAAAGCAGAGUCUUGAUCUUUUCGUAAGGACUCUCGCUUUCAUUUAAUUUGCUGGCCUGUGCUGGAGAGGGGGUAGUUCCCAGUCUGGAAUAUUUCCUGCCACUUGGAGGAGAAGAAGCUGUGAAGCUGUGAAAUGAAGGUGGAAAAGCAGUGGGACUCUGUCUGCCGAACUGAGGGUCAAAGAUCAGGGCAAGUUCACGUCAAGAAGGUUCUCCACAGUGGGCCCCAGGAUAUGUCAGCAAGCGUGUACAAAUAAAACUGUUAGUCCAUCCAGAAAUCCCAGGAGUGCUGCUGAAAGAGGAAAAACAUAACAGUGAUAGGCCACGGACACUAUCCACGCACUUUGAGUGAAAGGCACUGACAAGAAUGAGCUUGAGAAGACUGAAAAAUUGACCGCAAGUGAGGGUGAUCACAGACAGAAACCAUCUGGAAGUGGGCAUGUCUGGCCAAAGGUGGCUUUUGGGCAUCUCUACAGCUAGCUUCAAAAGUCUGGAUUGGAUGCGGCACUACAGACUAUCUCUGACAAUCUGUCUGACUUACAAUGACUUGCACAUACGACCAAAUAA